rnacentral:rRNA from 1 species
AAACACAGCAAGUCGAACGGCAGCACAGUAAGAGCUUGCUCUUAUGGGUGGCGAGUGGCGGACGGGUGAGGAAUACAUCGGAAUCUACUUUUUCGUGGGGGAUAACGUAGGGAAACUUACGCUAAUACCGCAUACGACCUACGGGUGAAAGCAGGGGAUCUUCGGACCUUGCGCGAUUGAAUGAGCCGAUGUCGGAUUAGCUAGUUGGCGGGGUAAAGGCCCACCAAGGCGACGAUCCGUAGCUGGUCUGAGAGGAUGAUCAGCCACACUGGAACUGAGACACGGUCCAGACUCCUACGGGGAGGCAGCAGUGGGGAAUAUUGGACAAUGGGCGCAAGCCUGAUCCAGCCAUACCGCGUGGGUGAAGAAGGCCUUCGGGUUGUAAAGCCCUUUUGUUGGGAAAGAAAUCCAGCCGGCUAAUACCUGGUUGGGAUGACGGUACCCAAAGAAUAAGCACCGGCUAACUUCGUGCCAGCAGCCGCGGUAAUACGAAGGGUGCAAGCGUUACUCGGAAUUACUGGGCGUAAAGCGUGCAUAGGUGGUUGUUAAGUCUGUUGUGAAAGCCCUGGGCUCAACCUGGAACUGCAGUGGAAACUGGACAACUAGAGUGUGGUAGAGGGUAGCGGAAUUCCCGGUGUAGCAGUGAAAUGCGUAGAGAUCGGGAGGAACAUCCAUGGCGAAGGCAGCUACCUGGACCAAACACU